rnacentral:rRNA from 1 species
UGACGGGGGCCCGCACAAGCGGUGGAGCAUGUGGUUUAAUUCGAUGCAGCGCGAAGAACCUUACCUGGUCUUGACAUCCACAGAACUUUCCAGAGAUGGAUUGGUGCCUUCGGGAACUGUGAGACAGGUGCUGCAUGGCUGUCGUCAGCUCGUGUUGUGAAAUGUUGGGUUAAGUCCCGCAACGAGCGCAACCCUUAUCCUUUGUUGCCAGCGGUCCGGCCGNNAANUNNNNGGAGACUGCCAGNNAUAAACUGGAGGAAGGUGGGGNUNACGUCAAGUCAUCAUGGCCCUUACGACCAGGGCUACACACGUGCUACAAUGGCGCAUACAAAGAGAAGCGACCUCGCGAGAGCAAGCGGACCUCAUAAAGUGCGUCGUAGUCCGGAUUGGAGUCUGCAACUCGACUCCAUGAAGUCGGAAUCGCUAGUAAUCGUGGAAUCAGAAUGCCACGGUGAAUACGUUCCCGGGCCUUGUA